UGGCCCAGGCUUGGCCCCCUUGGCGCAGCAUCAGGCGCCCCAGAUACCUGACACGUCUCAUUUGAUCUCAGAUUCAGCCUGCCCUUUCUGUGGCCCCCCAUGGUGGGCGGAGAGGGGGCUCCCCGGGGCCUCCCUGCCCCUGUUCGGACCCCUAGGCCAACCCCGUCCGUCCAGCCCUGGCCAAGACAUCUGACCCCAGUGGUCUGGCCCCGGCCUGCUCCAGGACCAAAGCUUUGAGUUGCCCCUACAGCCACAGGUGGUCGAGCGGCAGGCCCCCAGCCCCGGGCGGCUGCCUCCAGCCCGGCCCCUGGCUCAGAGUGGGGAGAACACGGCUGAAGAAGAAGGGCUGGGUGUCACUUUUCCUCCUCCAUUUGUCUUGGAGGCUGACACGGGAGAAAACCCCAAAGGACCGAGUGCGCCCUCACAGUUUCACCACAAGUAUCCUGACCGGGCGUCUGGUGCCGAGCUGAUAGUGCAGGCUCCGGGCCGCAGCCCCGCCGGAAACCGCGCUGCCAGCGGUUGGGGGCCGCAGGCCCAGACAGGAAACGCCCCCAGGCGUACUGCCGGGCCCAUGGCCUCGUCACAGGCCUGCUGCCUUGGACCAGGCCCGGCGCCAUUUUGAAGCUGGGCUGGGCUCUCGCCCUCUGCCCUGAGAUCUGGAGACUGGUCUGUUACCUGACUGGUCAGGCUUGGGAGGCGACAGGGAGGGAAGAGGGAACCUCCAGACUGGGCUACACCUGAACCACAGCCUCUUCCUACCAUGGCCAAUCCCUCCAUGGUGCCUCCAACCCAGCCCUUUAAAUUCUCAGCUUCCAUCAGGCUGCUGGCUCCGUGUUUACUGUGACAGGCUGAGAACUGAACGCAGGGAACUCAGAAGUGAACAAAAUAGUGGUAGUAUUGGGCAUCGCGAAAAGCCCACAGAAUAGGGGCCAUCGUCAAGAGGAGUAAUCACAGGGUCUGAAGGAUUUGCAUGUGGGGAUGAUAGGAAGGAGGACCCGGGUUCCAGCCCCCAUUUUUGACUUCCGUUUAGGAGAUGGAAUCCAGAAAGAUUCGUUUUGGGGUUUUUUUUCUGCCUUUUCUCCCCAAAUCCCCCCAGUACAUAAUUGUAUAUUUUAGUUGUGGGUCCUUAGUUGUGGCCUGGGGGCUGACGCCUCAGCAUGGCCUGGUGAGCGGUGCUGGGUCGGCACCCAGGAUCCGAACUGGCGAAACCCCAGGCCCCUGAAGCAGAGCGUGCGAACUUAACCACUCGACCACAGGGUGGCCAGGAAAGAUUCGUUUUGCUGUGAGAAAGACAGGAGCCCAUUUAAAUGCUGAUGGGAAGAAAAGAGGUCACAGGGAGGGAAAGAUCGCAGGUCCAGGAGAGAAGGGGCCAGUAGAGAGAGGGAGUCCCGAAGAACAAGAUUGGAUGGGAUGGUGGGCUGAAGGGGGAGAUCUCAAGGGAGAGCUCUGAGCCAGUGGUGCCUUCCACCGGCACUGGGAAGGAAACCGCAGAAGCCAGUUCAAGCUUCACCUCCUGGGCAGGCUUCCCUAUCCCCUGGGAGGCCCCUGCCUUACACCGUUUGGCACUGUGCUCUCUGAAGUGCAGUGGACUGCUUGCCUCCCUGGACUGGAGCUCACCCUCAGCAGAGUUAAAGAGGCAGCACGUCAACGCCUGUGAUUAACAAUAUCUUUACUGUGUGUCAGGCACUGUGCCUAAAAGUCACCAGGGAUACGGUCCUCUGCAUGGUGCUACCACAGGAACCAGCUCAUCACACAGCUCUUCCGCAACCUGCUUCUGUGUCCUGGCUUUUGAGGACUUCUCUUCUGGAGAGCACUGUUGUUUUCUCAGUCUCAGCCCCAGCUCCUGUCCCCCUUAGGGCCUGGCACAAAAGCCCCCAGGCCUGGUGCCUCUCUUCACCAGGUUGGAAGCCCAGACCAAGGCCUGGGUUUUGUGCUCAGCUCAAGGCCUGGAGUGGAAAAGGUGGGUCUGUGCAAACAGUGAGGGAGUGUUGGAUGAAUGCUAGACGAACGCGUAGCCUCUCACUCACUGGCACCCAGAGCUCCUCCAGGGAGCCCAAAUUUUCCUGCAUGGUGAGGCUAGGUCACAGGGGUGGGGUGCUCGGAGCCAGGCGGGAGCCUGGCAGGAGAUCAGACAGGCUCUGCAGUGGCUGGACCCAGGUGAGGGCCUCCAGCAGCAUGGGGGCUGGUGGGGCAUCGUCAGGGAUGGGGACUGAGAAGGAGAUCCCUUUGAACUUGACAGGGCUAGAGUGCAGUGAUUUAGGGGCUGAGGCUGGGCUGGGGUAUCUAUGCACAUCCAGGGCACAGGGUGGGAAAAGGCAGCUCCUGGAAGGUAUCAUGUUGGGCUGUGACCUGUGUGUGUGUGUGUGUGUGUGUGUGUGUGUGUUGGGAGGCAGCCUGGGGCAGUUGGAAGAGGGUGGCAUCAGAACUGCCCGGAAUUGAAUCCUGAUUCUCCAGGUCACUUAAGUUCUUUCCACCUGUUUCCUGACUCAAACAAUGGGCCAAAUAAUACCUGUGUUAUGAGGAUGAAGAAUGUGCGAGUAAACAUCCUGGCACAAAGAAUGUCUGUGCUUGAUACAUAGCAGUUGUGAUUUAUGUGUGUGUGUGUCGGGGGAGGACUUGAGGGCCAUUUUCAGGCCUGUGAAUUGCUAGUCCUGGCAGAGCUGGUCUUGAAGACCCAUCCCGGUGUGGCCGUCCUGUGAUUCCAGGGGCACUGCCCACCUGUUCCUCAGGGUAGCCUGCUGUGGGCCUGGCACAGGCAGCAGCCCUGCCCACAGGGACUCCCAUCUGACAGACAUGGACACAGGUACCCAGAGAGACGGCCUUACCUCGGGCCCACA
ensembl:lncRNA